rnacentral:rRNA from 1 species
GGGCCGCGGUAUACUGACCGUGCGAAGGUAGCAUAAUCAAUAGUGUUUUAAUUGAAGACUGGAAUGAAUGGUCGGACAAGGGGUUUGCUGUCUCUAAGGUAAAUCUUGAAGUUUACCUUUAAGUGAAAAGGCUUAAAUGGCGUAAAGGGACGAUAAGACCCUAUAAAACUUGACGGAUUGUGCAGUUAGAUGUAUGAAUUGGUAGUGUAAGCUUGAUAGUUGUGUAGCCGUUUUGUUGGGGCGACAGGGAUAUAAGUAUAAUUAACUGUCUUUAAUUAAAAAUAAUAGUAAUUAGUUUAAUUGAUCCUUUAUUAGGGAUUACGAGAUUAAGUUACUUUAGGGAUAACAGCGUAAUUUCUCUUGAGAGUUCUAAUCGACAGAGUUAGUUGCGACCUCGAUGUUGAAUUAAGAUGUUAUUCAGGCGCAGAAGUCUGAAGGGUAGGUCUGUUCGACCUUUAAAAUCUU